rnacentral:rRNA from 1 species
UACGGGGGGGGUAAGCGUUGUUCGGAAUUACUGGGCGUAAAGGGCUCGUAGGCGGCCAACUAAGUCAGACGUGAAAUCCCUCAGCUUAACUGGGGAACUGCGUCUGAUACUGGAUGGCUUGGAUUUGGGAGAGGGAUGCGGAAUUCCAGGUGUAGCGGUGAAAUUCGUAGAUAUCGAGAGGAACACCGGUGGCGAAGGCGGCCAACUGGACGAAUACUGACGCUGAGACACGAAAGCGUGGGGAGCAAACAGG